rnacentral:rRNA from 1 species
UACGUAGGGUGCGAGCGUUAAUCGGAAUUACUGGGCGUAAAGGGUGCGCAGGCGGUCUCGUAAGCUGGGUGUGAAAGCCCCGGGCUUAACCUGGGAAUGGCAUUCAGGACUGCGAGGCUUUUAGUGCGGCAGAGGGAGGUGGAAUUCCACGUGUAGCAGUGAAAUGCGUAGAGAUGUGGAGGAACACCGAUGGCGAAGGCAGCCUCCUGGGCCAGCACUGACGCUCAUGCACGAAAGCGUGGGGAGCAAACAGG